GUGCGUAUUGAAGGAACGAACCAGUCGUCAAUAGAUACUCUACUAAAAUAAAAUACCAACAUGAACCGUAUAAUAGUUGCACUGUUACUUCUUGUUUUGGUUGAACUCACGAUGGCAGGAACGUAUACUCGAAACAGAAAUCGCUCAAGAGGCCGUGCACCUGACAGCAAAAGAACAAUGAAAUGCGGAGAUGAAGACAAUGAAAUCGACAUGUACGAUACCAUAUGCUGCGAUGGGUUUCCCGUGAAUGCGGAGAAAUGGAUUUUACCUGAAUGUUGUGGACCAGAAGGUUACGAUGCUCUUACUUUCGACUGCAUGGACGGCAGAAUAAGAGAAAGAUUUUAAUAAGCGUUCGGGAGAUGGAUACCUGAUGUACAUAUUGUUUUCAGACAAAUGAAAGUUAAAUAUAUAGAGCGAAGUUCCGACAUGAUCGACGUACAGAUUUGAACAAUUAGCAUUCAGACAUUAGAAAUCACUAGCUAUAUCACGCUCAAGCUAUUAUGAGUACUGGUUAUUUACCUAACAUUUACAAAUAGAUUAUUAUCGUGUUUUUUCUGUGAAGUAGAUUAUCUCUGCACUUUAUCCAUUAUAGCCUAACUUUUCUGUAUUAUAAAAACCAAUGUUAGAAAUGGAAGCUAACGAUUAUAAUAAUGUAACGUUACGGAAAAUAUAUGUUGUUUUUUAUUUGUGUCAGAAUAUUUAUAUUCAAGCCCAUACAUUUCUGCUACUAGUUUGAUUGUUUAUUUAUUUGCAUCAUCUUUAUCGCACCUC